GUUUAGAACGUCGUGAGACAGUUCGGUCCCUAUCCGCUGUGCGCGUAGGAGUCUUGAGAAGGGCUGUCCCUAGUACGAGAGGACCGGGACGGACGAACCUCUGGUGUGCCAGUUGUUCUGCCAAGGGCAUGGCUGGUUGGCUACGUUCGGGAGGGAUAACCGCUGAAAGCAUCUAAGCGGGAAGCCUGCUUCGAGAUGAGGACUCCCACCUCCUGGAGAGGGUAAGGCUCCCAGUAGACGACUGGGUUGAUAGGCCGGAUAUGGAAGCACGGUAACGUGUGGAGUUGACCGGUACUAAUAGGCCGAGGGCUUGUCCUCAGUUG
rnacentral:rRNA from 1 species